UACGGGGGGGGCAAGCGUUGUUCGGAAUUACUGGGCGUAAAGGGCUCGUAGGUGGCCAACUAAGUCAGACGUGAAAUCCCUCAGCUUAACUGGGGAACUGCGUCUGAUACUGGAUGGCUUGAGUUUGGGAGAGGGAUGCGGAAUUCCAGGUGUAGCGGUGAAAUGCGUAGAUAUCUGGAGGAACACCGAUGGCGAAGGCAGCCCCCUGGGCCAACACUGACGCUCAGGCACGAAAGCGUGGGGAGCAAACGAGG
rnacentral:rRNA from 1 species